rnacentral:rRNA from 1 species
GAUGAACGCUGGCGGCGUGCCUAAUACAUGCAAGUCGAGCGAACAGAUGAGGAGCUUGCUCCUCUGACGUUAGCGGCGGACGGGUGAGUAACACGUGGAUAACCUACCUAUAAGACUGGGAUAACUUCGGGAAACCGGAGCUAAUACCGGAUAAUAUAUUGAACCGCAUGGUUCAAUAGUGAAAGACGGUUUUGCUGUCACUUAUAGAUGGAUCGGUGCCGCAUUAGCUAGUUGGUAAGGUAACGGCUUACCAAGGCGAGGAUGCGUAGCCGAGCUGAGAGGGUGCACGGCCACACUGGAACUGCGACACGGUCCAGACUCCUACGGGAGGCAGCAGCAGGGAAUGUGCCGCAAUGGGCGAAAUCUUGACGGAGCAACGCCGCGUCAGUGAUGAAGGUCUUCGGAUCGUACAACUCUGCUGUUAGGGAAGAACAAAUGUGUAAGGAACUACGCACUUCUUGACGGUACCUAACCAGAAAGCCACGGCUAACUACGUG